GACGUAGGGCGCGAGCGUUGUCCGGAUUUAUUGGGCGUAAAGAGCUCGUAGGCGGCUUGUCGCGUCGAAUGUGAAAUCCUGCGGCUCAACUGCAGGCUUGCAUUCGAUGCGGGCAGGCUCGAGUUCGGUAGGGGGGACUGGAAUUCCUGGUGUAGCGGUGAAAUGCGCAGAUAUCAGGAGGAACACCGGUGGCGAAGGCGGGUCUCUGGGCCGAUACUGACGCUGAGGAGCGAAAGCGUGGGGAGCGAACAGG
rnacentral:rRNA from 1 species